rnacentral:lncRNA from 1 species
CGCCGCUGUUUGGAUAUAACAAUGGAUUAUUUGGGACCAAACCAACAUUUGUUAUUGAAGUGGAAGUCCUGGGAGUGCAUUCUGACGAAGAACAGCAAAGGUCAUGGACAGGACACACCAGACAGGACCCACCGGACCUAAAGCCAUCAUUUUGGGUGGUGCGCACCCCAGGCUGGCAAACUUGGAUAAGCUGUUCUUUGUCUUUGAUGUGAUGUUCCUCAAGAUGACAUUCUGGUGAAAUCAAUCCUAAUUUAUUCUGACCAACCACCUGCCUGGCUCAGAACCAGUCCUGCCUGGCCCAGUCCACUGCUUCUUGCCCCUCACUGUGCUGGGUAACACAGGGUCACAAACUAUAACGGGCUGGAAAAGUAAAUGAAAGAAGUUGUCAUUGAGUUUCAAGAUAGCAGGUAACUGGCUAUGCAGCCUCAAAGACAAGAAUAGGCACACAAAAAGGGCAAGGACAGAUUUUCUGACCAGUAAGCCUUCCUACCAUUGGGG